rnacentral:rRNA from 1 species
GGGGAAUCUUGCGCAAUGGACGAAAGUCUGACGCAGCCACGCCGUGUGAGUGAAGAAGGCCUUCGGGUUGUAAAGCUCUGUCAAUUGGGACGAACAGUUUAACGGAUAACAUCCGUUAGAUCUGACGGUACCGAUGAAGGAAGCACCGGCUAACUUCGUGCCAGCAGCCGCGGUAAUACGAAGGGUGCAAGCGUUGCUCGGAAUUAUUGGGCGUAAAGGGUGAGUAGGUGGUCUGAUUUGUCUGGGGUGAAAGCCUUAAGCUUAACUUAAGAAGUGCCUUAGAAACGGUCGGACUAGAGUGCUGGAGAGGAUCGCAGAAUUCCUGGUGUAGCGGUGAAAUGCGUAGAGAUCAGGAGGAAUACCAGAGGCGAAAGCGGCGAUCUGGACAGUAACUGACACUCAAUCACGAAAGCGUGGGGAGCAAAC